rnacentral:tmRNA from 1 species
GGGGGCGAAUGGCUUCGACCGGACAGGUAGACGGUCGAGUUGCAUGUCCAGGACGUCGGUUGGCCUGGCUAAAAAUCCGACACCUUAAUUUAAUUGGCGAAUCUAAUUACGCCAUGGCUGCCUAAUUGAGCGGCCCGUCCUGAUCGGUCUCCUCCUGCGGAUCGGUUAAGGGCGCCAAACAGCGGGAUAGCCGAUGCGGGUGUUCGUGACGCAAAGGCAAAACUAAUCGCGGACUAGUGAUGGCGGCAGCCUGUCGUUUGGCGGUCGCCGGAGCGAAACUUCAAUGAAACGACUAUACAUGUAGACGCUCGGCCUGAAAUGUCACGGGACGGGGGUUCGAAUCCCCCCGCCUCCAUUC